rnacentral:rRNA from 1 species
GAUGAACGCUGGCGGCGUGCCUAAUACAUGCAAGUCGAGCGAACAGACGAGGAGCUUGCUCCACUGACGUUAGCGGCGGACGGGUGAGUAACAUGUGGAUAACCUACCUAUAAGACUGGGAUAACUUCGGGAAACCGGAGCUAAUACCGGAUAAUAUAUUGAACCGCAUGGUUCAAUAGUGAAAGACGGUUUUGCUGUCACUUAUAGAUGGAUCCGCGCCGCAUUAGCUAGUUGGUAAGGUAACGGCUUACCAAGGCAACGAUGCGUAGCCGACCUGAGAGGGUGAUCGGCCACACUGGAACUGAGACACGGUCCAGACUCCUACGGGAGGCAGCAGUAGGGAAUCUUCCGCAAUGGGCGAAAGCCUGACGGAGCAACGCCGCGUGAGUGAUGAAGGUCUUCGGAUCGUAAAACUCUGUUAUUAGGGAAGAACAAAUGUGUAAGUAACUAUGCACGUCUUGACGGUACCUAAACAGAAAGCCACGGCUAACUACGUG